rnacentral:misc_RNA from 1 species
UAAUAAGUGUUUUAUGGCACUUCUUAAAUCCAUAUCCACCUUGUGUGCAAUGUCAGUCGAUCUUCUUUUAUGGAGGAUCGACCAAACAUCAACCUUUAUCUUUUAACUCUUUGUCUGAAAAAUAUUAUGAAUAAACAAUUCAAAAUA